CAGUAAUGGCAACAAAAGUUUCACUAGUAUCGAAUACGAGUUGCUGCAAGCCGGAGAGCCUUGUGAUCCAGUGACUUUCUUCCGACGAACCCAUGAUCCUGAAAAGAAAAUCAACGCCAAAUGCAAAGAAAUGAGUGAAAAAAUGAAGGCCAUGAAGGAAGCCGCAGAUCGGGGAGAAACUAAUGACACUCCAGAAGAGAUAUUUAACAAAGUUCGUAAUGCUGGAUGUUCGG